rnacentral:tRNA from 1 species
CGGGGCAUAGCUCAGGGGCAAGAGCGUUGGCCUUGGGAGCCAAAGGUCGCCGGUUCAAAUCCGGCUGCCCCGACCA